GACGAACGCUGGCGGCGUGCCUAAUACAUGCAAGUUGAGCGCUGAAGGUUGGUACUUGUACCAACUGGAUGAGCAGCGAACGGGUGAGUAACGCGUGGGGAAUCUGCCUUUGAGCGGGGGACAACAUUUGGAAACGAAUGCUAAUACCGCAUAAAAACUUUAAACACAAGUUUUAAGUUUGAAAGAUGCAAUUGCAUCACUCAAAGAUGAUCCCGCGUUGUAUUAGCUAGUUGGUGAGGUAAAGGCUCACCAAGGCGAUGAUACAUAGCCGACCUGAGAGGGUGAUCGGCCACAUUGGGACGGAGACACGGCCCAAACUCCUACGGGAGGCAGCAGUAGGGAAUCUUCGGCAAUGGACGAAAGUCUGACCGAGCAACGCCGCGUGAGUGAAGAAGGUUUUCGGAUCGUAAAACUCUGUUGGUAGAGAAGGACGUUGGUGAGAGUGGAAAGCUCAUCAAGUGACGGUAACUACCCAGAAAGGGACGGCUAACUACGUG
rnacentral:rRNA from 1 species